UCCUAAAUUUGCAAUGGGUUAAGAAAAGUUGUGUUUCAAUUUGUACCCCUUUUCUCUCCGUGCAUAAUCUCCACCUUCAAGCCUAUGAGCUCAUCCUGGGUCCUUCUUCCUUCGUCGCAGAGAACGGCUCGAGGCCUUGAAGUGCGCCAAUGCUGACGGCGUGAUGUGCGUGCGCUCUCUUUAUUAUGUUUCAAGGGGCUUCCCCGUCAGCUUUUCCCCUGCCCUUCCCGGACCGCCGAGCCCAGAGUUUCCCACUCAUCAUGUGCACUUUUCUGUGAGCUAAUAUACCCAAGGACCGAGUGAAGCCAGCGAUGACUGCAAUGCGGCCCAACUUUGUCUACUUUCCCUUCGCUUUUUCUCAUUUUCCCUGUUAGCGACAAACUUUGUUAACAACUCGAAAAAAGUGGAGAACUCAGGUAGGGCUUUCCAGCCAUGAUCUCUCUCUCUUUCCUCCACUCGGAGAUGAGUUGCGUUGAGAUUUCCGCGUGCUCUCAAACAUGCAUUUUGUCAAAUCAAAAAUUUUAUGGUUUUAUCACAAUGUUGCCAAGGACGCAAAGGCCAAGAAAGAAAUCCGACUGUCUCGAGUGCUGUUUUUAUGGCAUUAACUGGCCAGGAAGGGUAUUAAAAGUCCUGUUUGCCCGACUACAGGUUAACAACAGGAUUAAAAAAGAUAAUAUCAAGUAAAAGGAGUUGAAUAUACAUUUUGGAUAUAUGGAACUAAAAUAGUUAUCUAUAAGUGUUUAUGGUUGCUGCCAUGACAACGCUGGCUCGAUGCCUUCUUAAAUGGCAACUAAUUUGCCAGCGCAAUUUGCUUUUUAUAACUAAAUUCGCAUUUGGGCUUCAGCAUCCUUGGGAUGCUUAUGCUCGCCGGCUGCCUCGAAACGUCUUCGAACCAACUCGACAAUGACAGAGCAAUUAUGCGAGAAACCCGUAAAGCUACCAGAAUCCGGCUACCAAAAGUUACGACAGACUACAAGUACGGCGGGAGUUUGAGUUUCUUCUCAUUUAGCCAGCUUUUCACUGCUUAUCUAGGAGCAUUUAUCAAAAAUCGUCGUUAGUCGCUCGUCGUUCGUUGUUGUUAAUUGCAUGGGACAAUAGUGCGGCAAAUGAAUUUGUACCAGGGAUAAUUGUUGGCUCGCAGAGUUGGCAAUGCGUUUAAUUUUGUGCAAAUAGAGAGAAAAACAUUCGCCACCCAUUUCCCUAUUUUACGCCCCCGCCCCCUUCAGCUGUCUAAACAAAUGUCGUGAACUCGACGUCGUGGAGCUCAUAUUUCAGAAAAAGGGGCGCAUAAAUUUAUGCGAAAUCUAUUAGCAAAGAGCAACCCUUUUCAGCGCUCGCCACGGAUCCGGCAUUUUGGCCACGGCUUCGGGUGAAGAGUCCGGGCAAAAGUACGGAGAACGGAGCCCGGAGACCGGAGUCCUGAGUCCGGG